CAGAAAGAAAUAGAGAGUUCAAGCUCUCUAGUGUCCUUUUCAUAAGGGCACUGAUUCCAUUAUGAGGCUCUACCUUUAUGACUUCAUCUAACCCUAACUACCUCCCAGGACCCUGUCUCAAAAUAUCAUCACUUUGGGGGUUAGGGCUUCUACAUAUGAAUACUGGGGAAACACAAUUCAGUAUGUAACCACUAGUAAGGAUUAUUUUAGGUCAAUGUGCUAAGUUUCUUAGAGAAGGUAGAGAUAUUAACUUCAGAAUUUGUAAAGUCAGAUUGAUUAAUCUGAUUUCAAAUAUGCUUUAUUGGUGAUUGGCAUUUAUAGGAUAUAUAUUAAUUUCUAUUGAAGAAUCUGGUUGGUUAUUUGAUUACCUUUAAAAUAUGGCCUUCUUAAACUAAAUUAUAGUACUCUUAUCAAACACAGUUAUUGGAUUACUUUUAAAAUAUGGCCUUCUUAAACUAAAUUAUAGUACUCUUAUCAAAUAUUAUAGUCAAAUAUUCCCCAAAGUCUUUUGUUUUCCUCAGAGUAAAUCAUUUAAUUAAUGUAGCAUAGAUAGCUGAAGAUUACUUUUCAACUAUUUCAUAAAUAAAGUAAAAAUAUCUCAAAAUAUAGGUUAUAGUUUUGUUAUAUUUUUUCUUAAAGAUAUUUAUCUUCAUAUCACUAUAAAUUAUAUCAAUGUAACAUUUAUAUUUGUCUCAGAAUAGCUUUAUAAUCAGGUCAAAAGCAAGUUAUCUUGAACCAACAUAGGUUUGAACUCCAUUGGUCCACUUAUAUUCAGUUUUUCAAUAAAAAAGUGUAUACAGUGCUAAAGAAAACCCACAGGCACUUGGUCGAAUCUGCAGAUGCAAAACUCUGCAUUCAAAGGGCUAGAAUAUAAAGUUAUACAUGAGUUUUCCACUGUGUGUAGGGUCAGCGCCCCUAACCCCUGCCUUGUUCCAGAGUCAACUGUGCAUCCUAAUUGGCAUGGUGGCUAUUAUAAAGGGAAAAAAAUAGACUCAAUAAAAACAGCAACAGAUUGAAAACUGUUGAAAUUACUCAAAGCUUAGACAACCUCAAAAUAAUUUUAGGUGUGUAUUCUAAACUAGCAAAAAAUAACUUUAAUGGCAUUUCAACAAAACCAAAUUACUGUAAUUUAAAGUUAAUGAGAGACUGAUUUUGGUUAUUUUUUCAAUAUAUCAUAAAUACAUUUGUAACAUAGUUAUGUUUAUUUCAAAUAUGUAGGUUUAACUUAACUCUCUUUAAGAACCCACUGCCUGAGGAUUUAAGUUCAUAAAGUAAUGAAACAUAUAGAUCAUUUAUGACAGUAAGAAAAAUCAUCAAAUUUAAUCCUGAAAUUGCCUUCUUCUUCUAGUCCCAGCCUGCAUGCAAAGGGCACCAAUAGAACCUUCUUUAUUAAAAAAAAAUGAGAGAUGAAAAACCCUUUCACAUGUUUUAUUACAAUUUUAGAAUUGCUUUCUUUGUUUUGCUAUUUAGUUUUAAGGAGAGCAAAGCUUCUUUGUUUAUGUUUGACAAACAAAGCUUUUGGAAAAAUUUAAAUGUUUAUUUUUCCCCUUUACAUUGUAGGACCCAAUUACUUUUAAAAACAAAUCUAUUGAUAUGGCUUAAAAAGUUACUGCUAUGACUGCAAUUUUAAUUUUUAUAAUAUAGCCAUAAAUGUAUUGAAUUAUGAUAUUGAAAAAAAUGUAUUGUCUUAAUUUGAAAUAAAUAAGCCAUAAUACUUUUACUUAUUCUCAAAAAGCAUUAUGUAGAAAUCAGAAAAACUCUGCUAUCAUGAGCAUUUUAAUCUUUACAUGUAUCUAGGUCUUAUUUCAAACAUCAUAAUUGAUGGGAUUGUCAAUUGAUUUCUAAAGUAACAGGAACCUAUUUUUUGCCCUUUCUGAAUUUCACUGAAUUUUGACUUACCACUAGGGGGACUAACCCCCUUAAAGCUCAAUUUUGAUGUGUUUUUUGAGUUAUUCAAUUUUAAAAUUUAUCAUCUGUUAUAUAAUUUUGAUUUUAAAUUUUAUAUAGAGAAGAGAUUUCAUAUGCAAAAGAGCUUUUAACAAAUACCUACAGUGGGCAUGCAUGAAAGGAAUUCACUAUUAUGUUUCCCAUGCCAGGAACCCACCUGAGCACAAAACGAGACCACCUGUGGGGGCCCUGUGCCGUGGGUCUCUGGCUCAGUGCAUUGAACAGUCAUUUUACAUGAGUGAUAGUAUUUUAACACCCAUACUUUUUCACUUCCUUUUCCUUCUCUAGGUGCAGUUUUAUCACAUUUGUAUCAUCAGGGUAAUUUCUCAACAAUGAUUUCCUCUGCUAAGACUAAUUUUCCUCUAUUUAUUAAGAGAGAUGAGACAAAUUUUGAAAACCUUUGCUUUCCUAGAUUUCAGGUCAACUGUGUGUAAUAGAAAAUAAGCUAACUAAUAUCCAGAAGACUUGGAAUGAUCAAACUCACUUGAAUUGAAUAAACAUGAAGGAUCAAAUAAACCAUGGUUAAAACAUAAUCUCACAAAUAAAAUAAUAAUAGUAAUCCAUACAUAUAUGAAAUGAAAGCAUAUAUAUGACAUAUGGGCAUAUCAAGAAAGAUUGAGUAAUAACUAGGAAUAUAACUAUGUUUAAUAAGAUGGUCAUAACUUAUUAAUAAAAACUAUUUUUGUUUGUUACCAAGCAGAUGGUUUAAACAACAAUAAAUCCCUAUGUUAGGAAUUCCAGCUUCCCUCAUUCCUGAAGCAGAUAUCAAAUCAUUGGGGGUUGAGUUUUAAAAGUAUAGUGGACAUUUGAUUUUGAGAAUGUAUUUUAAAUUGUUACUAGUAUUUUAUAGGCCCCAGAGUCAUCAAUUCAAUUUCUCUAACCCUUUCAGGAUCUUACUAGAUGAUGCAGAAAUGCAUCUCAGAUGCCCUAGUUCCUACUGUAGUGGAUUUAUCAGUGUCCCACACUGAUCCACAAAGAACUUUCUGUUAUGCACAUAUAAUUAUUAGAAAAGAAGUGACUAGAAAGUAUAUUUUUAUGUAUGGAGCAUCAGGCAAUCUGAAUCAUAAAGAAUGUUCAUGCCUAACAAAUUUAGCAAAACUCACCAGUUCUGUUUCAUUUUCCUAAAACAUAUCAGGGGUAUGACUGAUAUACUAAAGAAAAAAAAUUGAAUCUAAUAACUGCAGUGCUUGGAAAUUAACCAAACUGGAGUUCCCGUCGUGGCGCAGUGGUUAACGAAUCCGACUAGGAACCAUGAGGUUGCGGGUUCGGUCCCUGCCCUUGCUCAGUGGGUUAAUGAUCCGGCGUUGCUUGAGCUGUGGUGUAGGUUGCAGAUGCGGCUCGGAUCCUGCAUUGCUGAGGCUCUGGCGUAGGCUGGCAGCUACAGCUCCUAUUAGACCCCUAGCCUGGGAACCUCCAUAUUCCGCGGGAGCGGCCCAAGAAAUAGCAAAAAGAC
rnacentral:lncRNA from 1 species